GACCCAGUGGCGAAGUGGUAUCGCGCCCGCUUACUGUGUUUGGUGUCGAAACAACAAUAUUCUGCGGAGGACGCCCGUUCGAUUCGGGUCUGGGUCA